rnacentral:piRNA from 1 species
GGAAUCCAGCUGUCUGCCUGUCCAUC